rnacentral:rRNA from 1 species
GACGUAGGGCGCGAGCGUUGUCCGGAUUUAUUGGGCGUAAAGAGCUCGUAGGCGGCUUGUCGCGUCGACUGUGAAAUCCCGCGGCUCAACCGCGGGUCUGCAGUCGAUACGGGCAGGCUAGAGUUCGGUAGGGGAGACUGGAAUUCCUGGUGUAGCGGUGAAAUGCGCAGAUAUCAGGAGGAACACCGAUGGCGAAGGCAGGUCCCUGGGCCGAUACUGACGCUGAGGAGCGAAAGCGUGGGGAGCGAACAGG